CUGCUGCCAAAAGGAGGGAGCAAAUGAAAGGAAAACUUCCCUGCUCCUCUGCCUCCCGCUUAUUCAUUUAUUUUAACCUUCGGUGGGGAAAAAAUCACAGAGCUUUUUUGCAUCCAAACACUUAUCGUUGGGUUUGAAGCCUUGGAAGUUCCGCCAAAGCGGCUGCCCGGGGUCUGGGAAAUGGCAGUUGACAAUUAAAAGACGCGUGUAAUAAAUGAUAGGUAAUGAAGUCAUCCCAAAAUAACUGUGUGUCAGAGAUGGGAGUUUCUGGUUUUACCUGUGGCUUUGCAGAGAUUUCUGCACAGAACGAUCAGAGCCUCAAUAAAUUAAUUUUGAAAUGCUAAUUGGCAAUAUGGAAGAAUAUCGAUUUUUAAGGUGAACUUUGUUGUUUUGUGUUCAAAUGCAUUUGCUCCAAGACCAGAACUCUGUCUGCUUUCACCCAGGCUUCUUUUCUUGCCAUAUUCCUAUACCCUAUGGGGGAGAAAGAGAUCCCCUUGAAUUGCUGCAGAGGGUGACAGUGAUUUCUGAAGAAUCCUCCAAAGAGUGAGCAAAGAGCACUGAAAACAGAUGCAGAAAGCUAUUUGCAUGGCUUUCUGUACCCUGGAAGAUUUAUCAACUCCUUACAUGCCUAGACUAAAGGAACCCCAUUUCUGCGGUCUUCCUUCAUGGAUAAUGCAUUCUGAGUCCUCUUCUCCAUCUUGCUGUUUGCUGCUGUGUGAUUUCCACAGUGACUACCGGUGUUUUGGAGGAUGGUGUUGAAGACUGCUUCAGCUGCACUUUUCUGGGGAGCAAGGAGGCAAUCCCUACCCAGAUCUUGCCUGCAAAAUUCUUGACUGCAGGAGGCGUUCUUUUCCUUCCUUUCUGAAUUACCAUUGGAACAGUACAGUUGGAAGGAACCCACAAAGAUCAUCGUGUCCCUGCUGCCUGACUGCUGGAGGGCUAACCAAAAGUGAAAGCACGUCAUUAGUAAGGGCAUUAUCCAAACUUCUUGAAUGCAGAAGCCUUGUAAGAUUGAACAGCCCCAAGUGUCUCAGCCUUUCUUAUAAGGGAGAUGCUCCAGACUCCUCGUCAUCUGUGUGGCUCUCUACUGGACUCUCUCCAGCAGUUCCCUGUCUUCCUUGAACUGGGAGCUCAAAAGCUGUUGUUUUCAAGAAAUUAAUGAGUUUGAAAAUGAAAAUAAAUUCCUCACUGAAUAUUUGUUACACUGUUGUCAGUUUUUCAGAAGCUUCAAUGUUCAGAUUCUUUAACAGUAGGGGAAAUCUUCAAAAAGCAAAUAGGUUUUUUAAAAGACAGAUAUAUUUGGAAAAUUUAUGUCUUAUUUUUUCUUUUUCUUUUUCUUUUUUUUCCCUUUUUUUCUUUUCUUGUAGUGCCAUGGGAAAUAGCGGGAGGCAAUAUGAGAUGUUUUAGCUAUAAAUGUCUGUCUUAUGAACAUCUUACUGAAGAUGCUAUGAGCUUCUUAGACAUAUAGACUAAGAAGUGCCAUCCAGAGGAGGUCCAUGUGCAAAAUUUAGCAUUCUAAUUUCUGAUCUACAUGUAAAUAUUCCCUGGAAAAUGUAUAUACAUUACAAUAAUUUGUAAAAGCAGGCUUGUUGUGUGUGGCAGAUUUACUGUGGAUACUACUGUUUCUCUGAAAUAGUGCUACAACUGAAAACGCAACAUCAAAAUUGAAGCAGAAGACGGCUAGCAUUUGGAUCCCAAACUGAUUUGAAAGUGUCACAUGGUCUGGAAUGUCUUUUUCAGUGUUUUUUGUUUUUUUUUUCCACUGUGCUACUGGAUCUUCUAGUACAGCAGCAAACUGAUCUACUUGCGCGAAUAGUUUCAAAGUCACAGGGUUUUAGAAAGCACCAAUGAUACCUAGUAUUGUUGCUGUAAUUUCAGAAAUGUUAUAAGUCAGGGUUUUUCUUCAUCAUUAAAACAUGUUCUGUUGUUAAGUUAGAAGAAUACUACAGGAUGUGGAUCCUGUUGUUUGGAAAACAAGGAAUUGAGGUGUGAGAAAUUAAUGGAAAUUCACAUUUACAGGAAAAAAAAAAGCCUAGUUUCUGGAAUGGUACUGGAAAUUGUUUGCUGAAUGGUUGUUAAGAAGUUUAAUGUUUCCUGUAUGUUAGUCUGUCUUUAGACCUGAAAAUAAUGUUGUCUGCUUUUUUAUUUAUAUGUGACAAGACUUAGAAGUAUCUUUGAUUCAUGAGCAGAAACAGCAGAAAGAAGAUGAUAAAGAAUAACUCUGGUUAUAAAUUAAAGUUAAUAGACUUUUUUUUUCUUUUAAACCCACAUCUUUUGUUAACAGAAUUUUUUCUGCAUUGUUACUGAUGCCUUCAUGCCUGAGAAGUUUUAUUUGCCUGUGUGCAAAUGGAGCAACUGUAUGAAAUUAAAGUAAAAUGCUGCUCUAACUUAGCUGUUAGGUUGCAAAGUUAGCACACUGAUUUUUUUCUUCUGGUACAUGUUCUUUUUAUAAAGGAACUUUAUCUUGUGGCUAUUGAUAUAUUGCAGAUGUAAAUUUUAUUAGACAGUAUAGGAAGAAAAUAAUAGAAUCUAUGAACAGGCAGUCACUAUCAGCAAAUUCUAUUAGCAAACAGAUAAAUUUCAAGCCAGCUUAUUGUUUUUUAGAGAGGUUUUGAUUAUUUCAGGAGACCAAAAUUGACUUAGGUAAGAUUAUCCUCAUCACUUAGAUUGAAAGAGAGUACUUUGCACUGACUAGAAAAGGAUGUAAAGUUUUACGUAUGUGUUUUUGUAUGUGUCCUGAUUCACAAGCAAAACAAUGAGCACUAGGCACAAUAAGAUGUAAAUAACCCUGUCAGGUCUUGGUGGCAAGUGUCAGUCUUCUCCUAGAGCUGGGUAGUGCACACACCCUCCACAGCACUAUUUAAUGUCACAGUCAAGACACCUCCAGAUGCCAGUAAAAUGUCAGGACGUCUUAGUCCUUUUAGGAAAACUAAUUUAUUGAACACUGCUGUAGGACAAUAUAUAGGAAAUAUAUGCCAGGAAAUAACUGGUACUGGAAACAGACAAAAGCAGUGAGAAAAGGUAAAGGAGGUGGAUGUUGACACAGGUUCCCGGUAUAGACUAGAUAGAUGAGAGUUAUAAACUGGAGGCAGUAUCACUAUCUCACCUGUGCUGCCACUGCAGCUAGUUAAUGAGGUAAUUUCAUAUAUUCUUUGAAUGCAAAACAGAAUAGAAGCAUUACUGUUGAAUUUUCUUUAAGGCUCAGGCACCUGCUCAGUGCUUUGUGCAUGCUGCUGCCAACAGUUUACAUUAUAGAAGUACCACUGUUUUGAUCAAUUGCUUGUUGUCCUAAUAAGGGUGCAUACAACCUCUGCUUUGCAAGAGUACUACAAAAUAAACAGCUUUUUGAAUCCAACAAAUCUCAGUUUUAAAAGCUUUUGUAAAUCAAUUUGGUUAUGUCAUAUAGUUUCAUUGGAAAAUGUGAAAACAACACUUGUUACUGUGAGCUAAGCUUGCAAAGGGCAGCAUGCUAUUAUUUUUACAGGCCAAUACGUUCCAUUUUCAGUUCCUGGGGCUAGCAAUUGGGUUUGAAUGACAAAUAUUUUGCACAUGACCGUGUAGGUGCAUAAGUGUUCAGCUACAGGCGUAGGGGCCCAAGGACACACACAGUCCUGCAGGGCUCUUGAAUGUCCCUGCAACCUUUGACUGAAGGCUUCAUUUGCCCAGUUCCAAGUUUCUGGUGCCUGACUGAGCCCUGGUACUGGGGUACUGGCCCCUAGUCCUGUUCCCGGUUAUUCACUGAGUUUCCUGACUGGACUUUGGCCAUGACUUGUCACCAACCAGUUCUACUUGCCUGCCACUAGGUCAGUGACAUCACC
ensembl:lncRNA